rnacentral:rRNA from 1 species
GAUGAACGCUGACAGAAUGCUUAACACAUGCAAGUCGAAGGGGAAGUGGCGCUUGCACCAUGGUAACCAUGGCGGACGGGUGAGUAACGCGUAAGGAACUUGCCUGCGGGACUGGGAUAACAGCAGGAAACUGCUGAUAAUACCGGAUAAGGUCAUUAAGCUGCAUAGCUGAGUGAAGAAAGGAGACGCGUGCGGAGAGCCUUGCGUCCUAGUAGCUAGUUGGGGGGGUAACGGCCCACAAAGGCGAAGAUGGGUAGCCGGCCUGAGGGGGUGGGCGGCAACAAGGGGACUGAGCUGCGGCCCCUACUCCUACGGGAGGCAGCAGUGGAGAAUAUUGGACGAGGGGGGGAACGCUGAUCCAGCACUUCUGUGUGCACGAAGACGGUUUUCGGAUUGUAAAGUGCUUUCAGCAGGGAAGAAGGAAGUGACGGUACCUGCAGAAGAAGCGACGGCUAAAUACGUG